AGGUCAAGCUAAUAAGGGCUAACGGUGGAUACCUAGGCACACGGAAGCGAAGAAGGACGUAGUUACCGACGAAACGCUUCGGGGAGCGGGAAGCAAGCAUUGAUCCGAAGAUAUCCGAAUGGGGCAACCCUAAACACGACCACCUGAAUACAUAGGGUGGAGCGAGCAAACCUGGUGAACUGAAACAUCUUAGUAGCCAGAGGAAAAGAAAGCAACAGCGAUUCCCCCAGUAGCGGCGAGCGAAAAGGGAACAGCCUAAACCAAGUUCUUCGGAACUUGGGGUCGUGGGACAGUGACAAAAGACUGGGAAAUUUAGACGAAGCGGCUGAAAACCGCACCAGAGAGGGUGAAAGUCCUGUAGUCGAAAAAGGAACCAGCUUAACUGCAUCCCGAGUAGCAUGGGGCACGUGAAAUCCCGUGUGAAUCUGCCUCGACCACGAGGUAAGGCUAAAUAUUCCCGUGUGACCGAUAGAGAAACAGUACCGCGAGGGAAAGGUGAAAAGAACCCCGGAAGGGGAGUGAAAUAGAACAUGAAACCGUUAGCCUACAAGCAAUGGGAGGACGAUUGAACGUCUGACCGUGUGCCUGUUGAAGAAUGAGCCGGCGACUUACAGGUUAUGGCAGGUGAAGGGGGAAGACCCCACAGCCCCAGCGAAAGCGAGUCUGAAUAGGGCGAAACGUCAUAAUUUGUAGACCCGAACCCGGGUGAUCUAACCAUGGCCAGGAUGAAGCUUGGGUAAAACCAAGUGGAGGUCCGAACCGACUAAUGUUGAAAAAUUAGCGGAUGAGCUGUGGUUAGGGGUGAAAUGCCAAUCGAACUCGGAGCUAGCUGGUUCUCCCCGAAAUGUGUUGAGGCGCAGCGGUAGUGGAAGUUUAGUCGGGGUAAAGCACUGUUUCGCCGCGGGCUGGGAGACCGGUACCAAGGCGAGGCAAACUCUGAAUACGGCUAAAAAAACUACCAGUGAGACGGUGGGGGAUAAGCUUCAUCGUCAAGAGGGAAACAGCCCAGACCACCAGCUAAGGUCCCCAAAUGAUAACUAAGUGAGAAAGGAGGUGGGAGUGCAUUGACAACCAGGAGGUUUGCCUAGAAGCAGCAACCCUUAAAAGAGUGCGUAAUAGCUCACUGGUCAAGCGCUCCUGCGCCGAAAAUGAACGGGGCUAAGUUAUCUACCGAAGCUGUGGACUACAUUGUAGUGGUAGGGGAGCGUUCUAUAGGGGGUGAAGCAGUAGCGGCAAGCAGCUGUGGACUCUAUAGAAGUGAGAAUGUCGGCUUAAGUAGCGAAAAUGUGGGUGAGAAUCCCACACCCCGAAACCCCAAGGUUUCCUCCGCAAGGCUCGUCCGCGGAGGGUCAGUCAGGACCUAAGGCGAGGCUGAAAAGCGUAGUCGAUGGACAACGGGUUAACAUUCCCGUACCGAUUAAUGAUUGUGCCGGAGAACGGAGAAGGUCAACGUCAGCUGGAUGUUGGUUACCAGUGCAAGCAGUCGAGGCGAUGAGAGGUGGUGAAAACACCAGGAGCUAAGACGCGAGUCCCACCUCCCACGGGAGGGAAGUGGCGCUGAUCAAGCUUCCUAGAAAAGCCCGAACCACGUUAAUCAUUAAUUGCCUGUACCCGAAACCGACACAGGUGGGGAAGUAGAGAAUACUAAGGGGCGCGAGAUAACUCUCUCUAAGGAACUCGGCAAAAUGACCCCGUAACUUCGGGAGAAGGGGUACCCUCGCAAGAGGGUCGCAGUGAAUAGGCCCAGGCGACUGUUUACCAAAAACACAGGUCUCCGCCAAGUCGUAAGACGCAGUAUGGAGGCUGACGCCUGCCCAGUGCCGGAAGGUUAAGGAAGUUGGUCAGGAGUAAUCUGAAGCUGACGACCGAAGCCCCGGUGAACGGCGGCCGUAACUAUAACGGUCCUAAGGUAGCGAAAUUCCUUGUCGGGUAAGUUCCGACCCGCACGAAAGGCGUAACGAUCUGGGCACUGUCUCGGAGAGAGACUCGGCGAAAUAGGAUUGUCUGUGAAGAUACGGACUACCUGCACCUGGACAGAAAGACCCUAUGAAGCUUUACUGUAGCCUGGAAUUGGCUUCGGGCUUCGCUUGCGCAGGAUAGGUGGGAAGCGUUUGAAACUCUCCUCGUGGGGAGAGUGGAGCUAACGGUGAGAUACCACUCUGGCGAGGCUAGAAUUCUAACCCUGACCCCUAAUCGGGGCGGGAGACAGUUUCAGGUGGGCAGUUUGACUGGGGCGGUCGCCUCCUAAAAGGUAACGGAGGCGCGCAAAGGUUCCCUCGGUCCCGUUGGAAAUGGGACGAUAGAGUGCAAAAGCAGAAGGGAGCUUGACUGUGAGACCCACAAGUCGAACAGGGACGAAAGUCGGCUUUAGUGAUCCGACGGCACCGCGUGGAAGGGCCGUCGCUCAACGGAUAAAAGUUACUCUAGGGAUAACAGGCUGAUCUCCCCCAAGAGUUCACAUCGACGGGGAGGUUUGGCACCUCGAUGUCGGCUCAUCGCAACCUGGGGCUGAAGUCGGUCCCAAGGGUUGGGCUGUUCGCCCAUUAAAGCGGUACGUGAGCUGGGUUCAGAACGUCGUGAGACAGUUCGGUCCAUAUCCGGUGUAGGCGUAAGAGCAUUGCGAGGAGCCUUCCUUAGUACGAGAGGACCGGGAAGGACGCACCGCUGGUGUACCUGUUAUCGUGCCAACGGUAAACGCAGGGUAGCCAUGUGCGGAGCGGAUAACCGCUGAAAGCAUCUAAGUGGGAAGCCCACCUCCAGAUGAUUGCUCUCAUGGCAUUAAGCCAGUAAGGUCUCGGGUAGACUACCCGUUGAUAGGCUCUAGAUGGAAGCUCGGUAACGAGUGCAGUCGAGGAGUACUAACCGACCGAGGGCUUGACCUG
rnacentral:rRNA from 1 species